UACGGAGGGGGCUAGCGUUGUUCGGAAUUACUGGGCGUAAAGCGCGCGUAGGCGGACCUGCAAGUCGGGGGUGAAAGCCCGAGGCUCAACCUCGGAACUGCCUUCGAUACUGCGGGUCUCGAGUCCGAGAGAGGUGAGUGGAAUUCCUAGUGUAGAGGUGAAAUUCGUAGAUAUUAGGAAGAACACCAGUGGCGAAGGCGGCUCACUGGCUCGGUACUGACGCUGAGGCGCGACAGCGUGGGGAGCAAACAGG
rnacentral:rRNA from 1 species